rnacentral:rRNA from 1 species
UACGUAGGUGGCGAGCGUUGUCCGGAUUUACUGGGCGUAAAGGGCGCGUAGGCGGCAAUUCAAGUUAUCUGUGAAAUCUCCGGGCUUAACCCGGAACGGUCAGGUGAUACUGUUUUGCUAGAGUGCGGAAGGGGCAAUCGGAAUUCUCGGUGUAGCGGUGAAAUGCGUAGAUAUCGAGAGGAACACCAGAGGUGAAGACGGGUUGCUGGGCCGACACUGACGCUGACAGCGCGAAAGCCAGGGGAGCAAACGGG